rnacentral:rRNA from 1 species
AACUAACGCUGGCGGCGUGCCUAACACAUGCAAGUCGUACGAGAAAGUUGGCUUCGGCCGAUGAGUAAAGUGGCGCACGGGUGAGUAAUGCGUGGAUAAUCUGCCCUUUAGUUGAGAAUAACGUACCGAAAGGUGCGCUAAUACCUGAUAAUACUGCAUAACUACUGUUGUGUAGUCAAAGAAGGCCUCUGUUUACAAGCUUUUGCUGAAGGAUGAGUCCGCGUACCAUUAGCUGGUUGGUGGGGUAAUGGCCUACCAAGGCUACGAUGGUUAGCUGGUCUGAGAGGAUGAUCAGCCACACUGGAACUGAGACACGGUCCAGACUCCUACGGGAGGCAGCAGUGAGGAAUAUUGCGCAAUGGGGGCAACCCUGACGCAGCAACGCCGCGUGAGUGAGGAAGGUUUUCGGACCGUAAAGCUCUGUCGAGCGGGAAGAAAUGUAUCAUGGCUAAUAUCCAUGAUACUUGACGGUACCGCUAAAGG